rnacentral:antisense_RNA from 1 species
AAUUAUGGUGGGGCGUGCAGGGGAGCCGAAAGGCUCGCCGGAGUCAUGAGUGACCGGUACGCCAACCCUGUACGUCUCACCACCAGU